rnacentral:misc_RNA from 1 species
GAUGAAGAACGUAGCGAAAUGCGAUAAGUAAUGCGAAUUGCAGAAUUCAGUGAAUCAUCGAAUCUUUGAACGCACAUUGCGCCCUUUGGUAUUCCUUAGGGCAUGCCUGUUCGAGCGUCAUUUAAACCUUCAAGCUCAGCUUGGUGUUGGGUGACUGUCCGCUGCCCUCGGGUGCGGACUCGCCUCAAAAUCAUUGGCGGCCGGUACAUUGGCUUCGAGCGCAGCAGAAACGCGAACUCGAGGACGUUGUAUUGGCUCCCAGAAGCUAUCUUCAUAAUUUUGACCUCGGAUCAGGUAGGGAUACCCGCUGAACUUAAGCAUAUCAAUAAGCGGAGGA